rnacentral:rRNA from 1 species
CCCAGACUCCUACGGGAGGCAGCAGUGGGGAAUCUUGCACAAUGGGCGAAAGCCUGAUGCAGCGACGCCGCGUGGGCGAAGAAGGCCUUUGGGCCGUAAAGCCCUGUCGGGAGGGAAGAAGGAAGCGACGGUACCUCCCAAGGAAGCCCCGGCUAACUCCGUGCCAGCAGCCGCGGUAAUACGGAGGAUGCGAGCGUUAUCCGGAUUUAUUGGGUUUAAAGGGUGCGCAGGCGGCACGGCAAGCCGGCGGUCAAAUCGCGGGGCUCAACCCCGCCCAGCCGUCGGAACUGCCGGGCUAGAGUGGGCGAGAAGUGCGCGGAAUGCGUGGUGUAGCGGUGAAAUGCAUAGAUAUCACGCAGAACUCCGAUUGCGAAGGCAGCGCACCGGCGCCCUACUGACGCUCAGGCACGAAAGCGUGGGUAUCGAACAGGAUUAGAUACCCUGGUA